ACCAGUCGCAUGGAAAUGUUGAGGUAAGUUUAGGGUUUUGAUUUGUUUGAAAGGAGCUGAAUUUUUGGUAGAUUUAUGGGAUUUUGCUGUGAUUGUGUAUAAACUUUAGAGAGAUGGGUGCUCUUGGAUUUUGGUUCUGCUUCGUGAUCUUUGGUUCUUCGUUUGUAUGAUUUUGUUGCUGGAGUUAAUCAUGCCUUCUUCCUUGCUUAAUUUUGUAAGGAUCAAAUUUCUUAAGAUAUUGGUAUUUGUCUUAGAAAUACAUAAAAAUACAUUGCUUUCGGUGAUGAAAUUUCCACUCGGGAAAUUUCAGGCAAUUACGUGGUUAUGGCUUUCAUGGUUGUUGAUGACUUACCUGGUUUUGAUUACUUUUUCAAAUUGCUGUCACAUUUUGUUUUUUCAAAUCAGUUUCCCUACUUUAUUUUGCCAUUGUAGGUUAUGCAGGUGCUUCCUUUUCUGUUUUCACUGUAGAUAUAUAGUUACACUCGAUUGAAGGGUGAGAGACAUAUAUGGAUACGAUAAGAUUUGGUAGAUAUUUUGCUCGAUAGAGGAGGUUUAAAUUGUGAUGAGAGAGUGAGGGCAAGUGAAAGGGUGAGAGGAGUGAGAUUUCAUAUCAAACCUAAAGUUUUUCCGUUUGCUUAAUGUCAGGAUUAUUGGCUCUAGGCUUCUCUUUUACUUUCGAUUCUUCUUUGGAAACUUCAUUUUACAGGAACGCUUGCCACUGGAGUAAGUUUUUGGGCAACUAAGAAGUA
rnacentral:misc_RNA from 1 species